GGGGACGUAGCUCAGCUGGUAGAGCACCUGCUUUGCAAGCAGGGGGUCGGCGGUUCGAGUCCGCUCGUCUCCA
rnacentral:tRNA from 2 species